rnacentral:rRNA from 1 species
ACUCCUACGGGAGGCAGCAGUGGGGAAUUUUGCGCAAUGGGGGCAACCCUGACGCAGCAACGCCGCGUGAGUGAUGAAGGCCCUUGGGUCGUAAAGCUCUGACAGAGGGAAAGAAAUGCAGGGGGGCUAAUAUCCCCUUUGCUUGACGGUACCCUCAAAGGAAGCACCGGCUAACUCCGUGCCAGCAGCCGCGGUAAUACGGGGGGUGCAAGCGUUGUUCGGAUUUAUUGGGCGUAAAGCGCGUGUAGGCGGUUUUAUAAGUCUGAUGUGAAAGCCCUGGGCUCAACCCGGGAAGUGCAUUGGAUACUGUAAGACUUGAAUACGGGAGAGGGCAGUGGAAUUCCUAGUGUAGGAGUGAAAUCCGUAGAUAUUAGGAGGAACACCGGUGGCGAAGGCGGCUGCCUGGACCGAUAUUGACGCUGAGACGCGAAAGCGUGGGUAGCAAACAGGAUUAGAUACCCUGGUAGUCCACGCCGUAAACGAUGAGAACUAGGUGUUGCGGGUA